rnacentral:rRNA from 1 species
UACGGAGGGUGCGAGCGUUGUCCGGAAUCACUGGGCGUAAAGGGCGCGUAGGUGGCGCUGCAAGUCAACGGUGAAAGCUCGACGCUUAACGUCGAGUCGGCCGUCGAAACUGCAGCGCUCGAGCACUGUAGAGGCUCAUGGAAUUCCGGGUGUAGCGGUGGAAUGCGUAGAGAUCCGGAAGAACACCGGUGGCGAAGGCGGUGAGCUGGGCAGUUGCUGACACUGAUGCGCGACAGCGUGGGGAGCAAACGGG